UCUGAGUCCAUCCUGCAAGCUGAAUAUAACUUUGCCAUGAGCGAAUACAGAGAUGUGUUUCCAAUGAAAUUCAAACUUUGUGUAUGGGCUCUGGAGUAUCUCAACACCCAAGGCGCUGAGGACAUGGCUUGACAGGUGUAUGCAGUGGUCUGCACAACAGCAGAAGGCAAGCAGCGGCACAAUGUGCCCAUUCAAGCCUGGAAGGAAACAACCAAGAUAUCACAGGACCCCUGUGAGAAGGAGCCGGUCAUCUCGGGGCACAUCAACCUUUCACUGUGACUACAAAGGAAGACAUAACUACGACUGCUUAAAGAGCAAUGGUACCAUGUGACCUUGUAUAAGUCCAGAGUCAUCCACAUGAGCAGAGGCAGACAGAUCUCCUGCAGGCAUUGAGGUGACACAGCCAGCCUCUAAUACCCAGAUGAUGUAUGGAUGUUGUAUGGCACCACUCAGCCAGCAGAGCCAGUCAACAGCAUAAGGCUGAGGAAUGCUGAGGAGAGACAAUAGCCCUGAACAUUGCUGCGGAAUGACAAACCUCAAUGAGGGAAGUGAAGGAAGGCACCGAGCUAAAAAAAAAAAACUGUUAUUUAAAUUUUAAAUAUGUUAAUUAAGCUGGAAUGAAACAUCGAGUUGACAAGAGAAAUGAUACAGCUUAAACAAAAAUUACAUUAGAAUAAAUUUCCGCAACACUGCACAGAAAAGUAAUAAAACACUAUUAUUCUACUUUUAAAUAAUCAAAUAAAUGUGUGUAAUCAAGUCCAGGUUUGAGUAGUUCUUUUUCAAAGGUGGAAAUAAAAGCUGUAUGUAUGAAUCCUCUGUUCACUUUACUAUUGAGCAGAUCAGGUUUAACAAGUGGGGUAUUUUGAAUUAGGAAGAUCAGGGUCAGGGUUCAGCCCUCUGUUUAUUUUUAGUUUCUUUUUAAUUUUGUGUCUUUGUAGUUUUCUAGCAGUGUUGUGUUUUUGAGUUACUCUCUGUUGCCUCCUUCUUCCUGUUUCCUUUCCCCUUG